AUUGAACGCUGGCGGCAUGCUUUACACAUGCAAGUCGAACGGCAGCGCGGGCUUCGGCCUGGCGGCGAGUGGCGAACGGGUGAGUAAUACAUCGGAACGUGCCCAGUAAUGGGGGAUAGCUCGGCGAAAGCCGGAUUAAUACCGCAUACGACCUGAGGGUGAAAGCGGGGGAUCUUCGGACCUCGCGCUCUUGGAGCGGCCGAUGGCAGAUUAGCUAGUUGGUGGGGUAAAGGCCUACCAAGGCGACGAUCUGUAGCUGGUCUGAGAGGACGACCAGCCACACUGGGACUGAGACACGGCCCAGACUCCUACGGGAGGCAGCAGUGGGGAAUUUUGGACAAUGGGCGAAAGCCUGAUCCAGCAAUGCCGCGUGUGUGAUGAAGGCCUUCGGGUUGUAAAGCACUUUUGGCGGGAACGAAAAGGACUGUGCCAAUACCACGGUUCGAUGACGGUACCCGCAGAAUAAGCACCGGCUAACUACGUG
rnacentral:rRNA from 1 species